rnacentral:rRNA from 1 species
CCUACGGGAGGCAGCAGUGGGGAAUAUUGGGCAAUGGGCGCAAGCCUGACCCAGCAAUGCCGCGUGAAGGAAGAAGGCUUUCGGGUUGUAAACUUCUUUGACAGGGGAAGAGCAGAAGACGGUACCCUGAAAACAAGCCACGGCUAACUACGUGCCAGCAGCCGCGGUAAUACGUCGGUGGCAAGCGUUGUCCGGAUUUAUUGGGUGUAAAGGGUGCGUAGGCGGAUCGUUAAGUCAGUGGUCAAAUUGAGGGGCUCAACCCCUUCCCGCCAUUGAAACUGGCGUUCUUGAGUGGAAGAGAAGUAUGCGGAAUGCGUGGUGUAGCGGUGAAAUGCAUAGAUAUCACGCAGAACCCAGAGUGCGAGGCAGCAUGCCGGCUUCCGACUGACGCUGAAGCACGAAAGCGUGGGGAUCGAACAGGAUUAGAUACCCCGGUAGUC